CAGUAGCCGCGGUAAUACGGAGGGGGCUAGCGUUGUUCGGAAUUACUGGGCGUAAAGCGCACGUAGGCGGCUUGGUAAGUUAGAGGUGAAAGCCCGGAGCUCAACUCCGGAAUUGCCUUUAAGACUGCCGAGCUAGUAGGUGAGAGAGGUAAGUGGAAUUCCGAGUGUAGAGGUGAAAUUCGUAGAUAUUCGGAAGAACACCAGUGGCGAAGGCGGCUUACUGGCUCAUUCUAGACGCUGAGGUGCGAAAGCGUGGGGAGCAAACAGGAUUAGAUACCCGGGUAGUCCCUGUCUCUUAUAC
rnacentral:rRNA from 1 species